AUUUGUUUUGUAAACAUCAAAAGAUAGGGAUCAAGAUCAACAGUUUGAGAUUGAAAUGGAUAUAGUAAUAGUUUAUAAUUUGAGUGCACUUGUUGUUUAGCUUUAUUCCUCUCGGUUGUCUACUUGAUUCAUGUGACUAUUUUGUUAUGGAUUUGUUGCCUAUAACCUGUUCGAUAAAAUGUCUAGACAACCGAGAAACUGGUGAAUCUUAGAAAAGUGAUUACAAAUAAAUCUCAUGUGACCAGAUACUUCGUGUGAAAGAGUCUUAAAAGGAUACAUGUUGACAAGCCAGUGAAAGAGAGAAGCCUAGUUUAUUCAAUUUGAAUUAAUCAUAGUUUACAUGGUUCUGAGGGAUGAAACAUUUUAGUUAUUUGCAUGUUAUUACAAGCUCGGCAAUUACAUCUGCCAAGAAAAAUAAAAACUAUGACUGCAUUGAAUUGUGAUUAAUGGUGGCUUGGUUUGCUAAAAUAGGAAAAGUAUGCCUAAGUUGGACUGGAACAAGGCCGAGACUGAUAAUGGGAAAGGCAGAGCUGAUGAGGCUGAUGUUGAAUGACAUGGAUGGUCACUUCCAAAAGCCUCCACAGAACCCUCUUAUGGACCUUUUAACGCUGGGAGUCUCAACCUUGGAAGGUGAGAAAUAGGCCAAGCGUAGAAGGUUAAUUACUCCUGCAUUCCAUCAUGAGAAGCUGCAGGUAAUCCCAACUUUCUACUAGAUUAUUGUGGAAUUUUUCUGAUUUUUUCUGUCCCACUGCAGUGUAAGUAAUGCUUCGUGGAAUGCUUCAUAUCUUAUUCUAGUAGGCUUUUGGCUAUUUAGUUGGUGUCUUAUAGACUAAUGGUCGGAAGAGCAGGGCAGACAAUUUCUUUUUAGUACAUUUGACCAAAAAGAAUGUGAAACAUAACUGAACAUUCUUUAAUUAAAUGUAUUGCAAUAAAAAGAACUUUUCUGAGGUAAACAAGUUAUGCUAAGGAAGAGCAAAAGUGCAUCAUCUUGAUUAAGUUGCAUGCCCAAACUGUUAAUAAAAGUGAGCUUCAUCCCUAUGUACUUAUGACUUAAAGAAAGUAGGGAAUAGUGCCAGAGUUUUUAGCAAGUUGCUGCAACCUGAUUGAUUGAUGGAAGAUGUUGGUUGCAUCCGAUGGAUGGAGUGAAAUUGAUAUCAAUCCUGAACUGCAGAGCCUUUCUACAGAUGUGAUUUCUAGAGCAGCCUUUGGAAGCAGCUAUAAAGAAGGGAAGAAGAUAUUUGAGCUUCAAAAAAAGCAAACAGUGCUGGAUACAUGUUGUCAAGCCAGUGAAAGAGAGAAGCCUAGUUUAUUCAGAAAUUUUUUUUUAAAAACCAAAUGAUUCAAUCAUUCCUUUCUUGUUUGGUUGUUUUUAUUGUUUUGUAAUAAAUUCCUUUCAAGUUUCUAUUUCUGUUCCUAAUAACUGGCAAUAAUCUUCUGGUGACCAGUUGGAGCUUCUGUCCUUCUUGAUCGUUGAGCUGUGCCUUAUCCAGUAUGAAAUGCUUAAAUUCCCCCCGUCUCUCUUAGCAGCAGCAACAAUCUUUACUGCACAAUGCUCUGUCAAUGGGUUCAAGAAGUGGACUAAGACAUGCGAGAGGCACACAAACUACACUGAAGAUCAGCUUUUGUGGAACCAGCUGAAGAUUGAUGGGGUAUUCGUGGUUAUGACUGAAGGCUCUCAUUUCAUUUGGAAAAUUUGGAAGCUACUGCAAAUUCUUUCUACUUGUUAGGGAAGAGAAUAUUUUAGUUUGUGCACAUGAGGAUCUUUUAGUUUGUGCACAAGAAAAUCUUUUAAGUUUGUACUUGUUAGGGAUUUGUUAUGUUAGUACUUGUUAUUGACUUUUAGUUCCAUAAAUUAUAUUUGAGCAUUGACUUUUGUUUUUAGAUUA